rnacentral:rRNA from 1 species
GUGCCAGCCGCCGCGGUAAGACAGAGGAGCCAAGCGUUGUCCGGAUUGACUGGGCGUAAAGCGCACGCAGGCGGUCCUGCACGUGGGGUGUGAAAGCUGGCCGCUUAACGGUCAGUCGCCAUCCCAUACGGCGGGACUAGAGCGGUGCAGAGGGCGGUGGAAUUGCCGGUGUAGUGGUGAAAUGCGUAGAGAUCGGCAGGAACACCCAGGGGGAAACCAGCCGCCUGGGCACCUUCUGACGCUGAGGUGCGAGAGCGUGGGGAGCGAACCGGAUUAGAUACCCCCGUAGUCC